rnacentral:rRNA from 1 species
UACGAAGGGUGCUAGCGUUGCUCGGAAUUACUGGGCGUAAAGCGUUUGUAGGCGGCUAUUUAAGCCAGUGGUGAAAGCCUGGGGCUCAACCCCAGAACUGCCAUUGGGACUAUUUAGCUAGAGGAUGUUAGAGGUAAGUGGAAUUCCUAGUGUAGGAGUGAAAUCCGUAGAGAUUAGGAGGAAUAUCGAUGGCGAAGGCAGCUUACUGGGACAUUUCUGACGCUGAGAAACGAAAGCGUGGGUAGCAAAC